UGUGAAAUCCAAUGGCUCAACCAUUGAACUGCAUUUGAAACUGCUAGACUAGAGUAUGGGAGGGGGAGAUGGAAUUAGUGGUGUAGGGGUAAAAUCCGUAGAUAUCACUAGGAAUACCUAAAGCGAAGGCGAUCUCCUGGAACAUAACUGACGCUAAGA
rnacentral:rRNA from 1 species